rnacentral:rRNA from 1 species
UUUCCGUAGGUGAACCUGCGGAAGGAUCAUUGUCGAAACCUGCCCGACAGAGCGACCCGCGAACGCGUUACAAACACUGCGCUGGCGGCCUCGGCCGCUCGCGCGGCUGUGCUGCGGCUGCGUGCGCAAGCGCGCUGCCCGUUCCACGGCCACUUAAAGAACCCACGGCGCGGACUGCGCCAAGGAACAUAAAACUUACGAGAGCGAGCGCUCCCUCCUCGCCCCGGAGACGGUGCGCGAUGUUUGGGCGGCCUCGCUGUCCAAUGAUAAACUUAACGACUCUCGGCAACGGAUAUCUCGGCUCUCGCAUUGAUGAAGAACGUAGCGAAAUGCGAUACUUGGUGUGAAUUGCAGAAUCCCGUGAAUCAUCGAGUCUUUGAACGCAAGUUGCGCCCGAAGCCUUUUGGCCGAGGGCACGUCUGCCUGGGUGUCACGCAACGUCGCCGCCAACGCCGCCCUUAGGGGCGCGCAGUUGGGGGCGGAAUAUGGCCUCCCGUGCGCCUCGGCGCGCGGUUGGCCUAAAUAUCAGCCCCCGGCGAGGAUCGCCACGACAAGCGGUGGUUUUUUCAACGAAGGACCUCGGGUGUUGUCGUGCGGCCUUCCGGAGGGAACGGACCCUGCGCUCUCGAGCGCAAUCUCUUUCGAGACCCCAGGUCAGUCGGGAACACCCGCUGAAUUUAA